CACCGCGGUUAUACGAGAGACCCAAGUUGAUAGCCUUCGGCGUAAAGAGUGGUUAAGAUUAUUUACCUGACUAAAGCCGAACGACUUCAAAGCUGUUAUACGCAUACGAAUAAGUGAAACUCAAUUACGAAAGUGGCUUUACUUUUACUGACCCCACGAAAGCUAAGAUA
rnacentral:rRNA from 1 species